rnacentral:misc_RNA from 1 species
GCUUUCCCCGUUACAGGCUCACCUACACGCCCCUCUACAGCCCUCUUAAACUAUCCGACACCCUUUUCGUGUGCACCCCGCCACCCCCACCCCCAGCGCCCGCGCACGCUUGACUCGACUCGCUUAUCCCCAUAGUCGCGCUCUACCCAUUCCUUCACUACCCCCUCCCCCUCUAAACACUUAUCUCCCCCGCUUGUAAACCAUGGGAGCCUACUGCACGAAGGACUCCGCAAAGGAGCCCCAGAAGCGUGCUGAUAACAUCCAUAAAACCACUGAGGCCAAUCACAGAGGCGCCGCCGGUGUGCCCCCGAAGCACGCCGGCGGUGCGAUGAACGACUCUGCCCCGAAGGAGGAUGGCCAUACACAGAAAAAUGACGGCGAUGGCCCUAAGGAGGAUGACCAUACACAGAAAAAUGACGGCGAUGGCCCUAAGGAGGAUGACCAUGCGCACAACGACGGCGGUGGCCCUAAGGAGGAUGAGAAUCUGCAGCAAAACGAUGGGGAUGCGCAGGAGAAGAACGAAGAUGGACACAACGUGGGGGAUGGAGCUAACGACAAUGAGGAUGGUAACGAUGAUCAGCCGAAGGAGCAGGUUGCCGGCAACUAGUGCACUGCGUCCGGGCUUGUGUGCGAGCCGUGCUCUGCACCCCGCCGUUCGUGCAUCCUCGCAUGUGAACCGCGUGUGUGUCUCCCGCUUUAUCUCUCUUCCCCGCACAGUGGCUGAUGCCUGCACGGGGUCGCUGUGGCUGCACCUGCUGACCACUGCCAGCGUUCUCGGCUCGCCCUCCUCUCUCCGCCUCCGAGUGUGCGGUACGGGCUGGCCUGGGCGCGCUGCGGAUGUCGUCGGUGCGUGCGGGGUCAUCGCCGAGAGUUUGGCACCUGGGCUGCUGCUACGCAACUGUGGCCAGGCCAGGCCCUGCCUCUGUGUGUGCUGUGAUCGCCGGCUCUAGCUUCACGCUCGCUGCCCCUGCGUGGACGGUCUUUGUUUCUUGUUUCUUUUCGAUUGCCUCUGCACACGCGCAUAUCCUCCUCCCUGCCCACCCCUCCACCUCUACCUUCAUGUGUGCCGGAGCGAGCACUUCUCCUACUAGCUUAUUGCGCUGCCACUGCCGCCCCCUCUAGUGCGUCUCUCUCCCCUCGCAUCUUUUCCCUCGCUUUCUGCUCACUGCUCUGCAUGGUGUUUGUUCGGCUGUACUUGUACUACACGCAUGCGUGUAGUACGAAGAAAAGGGCUGCUCGGGUUGUCUCUCCGCGUGUUUGUGUUUUUGUUGCCGUGUGGGCGAUAUAUCCGGCUUCGACACGAUGCACGCCCGCCCUUCCCCAUUUGAAGGACGCUCUCUUUCCUCCGUCACUGCGCCUCUCUCCUUGCUUAUGAUCUCGCUCUGUGUUUCCUGUCUUUCAAGUGAGUCUCUUCUUGGGCUCUCCCCCUUCUUUCCUUGUCCUUUGCGCAUGUUUGUCGCUCCCUUCCGUUUUGCUAUUUUGAAGGCAGCGAGCGGCGGCCGCGGCAUGCUGAGAUGAGGUGCGGCGUGUGUCUGUCUGUGCGCCUCUCUCUUCCCGUGUCUGUCGGUCCCCCACGGCUGCCCUCGUCUCCGCACACGAGUCUGCCGUGGCGGGAGUGCUGUACUGCGCCGUAG